AGAGUUUGAUCAUGGCUCAGAUUGAACGCUGGCGGCAGGCCUAACACAUGCAAGUCGAGCGGUAGCACAGAGAGCUUGCUCUCGGGUGACGAGCGGCGGACGGGUGAGUAAUGUCUGGGAAACUGCCUGAUGGAGGGGGAUAACUACUGGAAACGGUAGCUAAUACCGCAUAAUGUCGCAAGACCAAAGUGGGGGACCUUCGGGCCUCAUGCCAUCAGAUGUGCCCAGAUGGGAUUAGCUUGUAGGUGGGGUAACGGCUCACCUAGGCGACGAUCCCUAGCUGGUCUGAGAGGAUGACCAGCCACACUGGAACUGAGACACGGUCCAGACUCCUACGGGAGGCAGCAGUGGGGAAUAUUGCACAAUGGGCGCAAGCCUGAUGCAGCCAUGCCGCGUGUGUGAAGAAGGCCUUCGGGUUGUAAAGCACUUUCAGCGGGGAGGAAGGCGUUAAGGUUAAUAACCUUGGCGAUUGACGUUACCCGCAGAAGAAGCACCGGCUAACUCCGUGCCAGCAGCCGCGGUAAUACGGAGGGUGCAAGCGUUAAUCGGAAUUACUGGGCGUAAAGCGCACGCAGGCGGUCUGUCAAGUCGGAUGUGAAAUCCCCGGGCUCAACCUGGGAACUGCAUUCGAAACUGGCAGGCUAGAGUCUUGUAGAGGGGGGUAGAAUUCCAGGUGUAGCGGUGAAAUGCGUAGAGAUCUGGAGGAAUACCGGUGGCGAAGGCGGCCCCCUGGACAAAGACUGACGCUCAGGUGCGAAAGCGUGGGGAGCAAACAGGAUUAGAUACCCUGGUAGUCCACGCCGUAAACGAUGUCGAUUUGGAGGUUGUGCCCUUGAGGCGUGGCUUCCGGAGCUAACGCGUUAAAUCGACCGCCUGGGGAGUACGGCCGCAAGGUUAAAACUCAAAUGAAUUGACGGGGGCCCGCACAAGCGGUGGAGCAUGUGGUUUAAUUCGAUGCAACGCGAAGAACCUUACCUGGUCUUGACAUCCACAGAACUUUCCAGAGAUGGAUUGGUGCCUUCGGGAACUGUGAGACAGGUGCUGCAUGGCUGUCGUCAGCUCGUGUUGUGAAAUGUUGGGUUAAGUCCCGCAACGAGCGCAACCCUUAUCCUUUGUUGCCAGCGGUUCGGCCGGGAACUCAAAGGAGACUGCCAGUGAUAAACUGGAGGAAGGUGGGGAUGACGUCAAGUCAUCAUGGCCCUUACGACCAGGGCUACACACGUGCUACAAUGGCAUAUACAAAGAGAAGCGACCUCGCGAGAGCAAGCGGACCUCAUAAAGUAUGUCGUAGUCCGGAUUGGAGUCUGCAACUCGACUCCAUGAAGUCGGAAUCGCUAGUAAUCGUAGAUCAGAAUGCUACGGUGAAUACGUUCCCGGGCCUUGUACACACCGCCCGUCACACCAUGGGAGUGGGUUGCAAAAGAAGUAGGUAGCUUAACCUUCGGGAGGGCGCUUACCACUUUGUGAUUCAUGACUGGGGUGAAGUCGUAACAAGGUAACCGUAGGGGAACCUGCGGUUGGAUCACCU
rnacentral:rRNA from 1 species